CAGGAAUGGGAAUAGAGUGGGACAAGGUGAUGGAAGGGUGUUUUCGGAGGAUGGAUGAGGAAGUAGAGAAAGAUAAGAUGAUGGGGUCCACGGCUGUGGUGGCGGGGGGCGGGAAAAGAUGAGGUGGUUGUGGCCAAUUGUGGGGAUUCCAGAGCUGUGCUUUGUAGGGCUGGUGUAGCUGUGCCAUUGUCCGUUGAUCAUAAGCCUGACAGACCCGAUGAAUUGGAGAGAGUUGAAGCUGCUGGAGGAAGAAUUAUCAACUGGAACGGACACCGUGUUCUAGGAGUUCUUGCUACUUCCAGAUCUAUAGGUGAUCGGUAUCUUAAACCGUUUAUAAUAUGCAAACCUGAAGUCACCGUGAAUAAACGAACUAAAAAUGAUGAAUUCUUGAUAUUAGCCAGUGAUGGGUUGUGGGAUGUCAUUUCCAACGAAGUUGCAUGCCAGAUUGUGAGGAGAUGUUUAAGAGGGCGGAUGAGAAGGAAAUACCAAGAAGUCUUGAGUGAAGGUCGUGCAGCUGAGGCAGCAGCAGUGCUAGUGGAGCUAGCAAUUGCUCGGGGUAGCAAAGAUAACAUUAGUGUGGUAGUGGUUGAGCUGAAUAAACUUGGUAUUUCUUAUUAGAUACCUCAUCUCUGGUACCAUUAGCAAGUCUUGAAACUUACCAUCAUGAUCUUGGAAGCGAAAAAUUGAUGAUUUGGGUGUAGUCAUGAUUCAUGACUUCGUGUAAAUGGUUGAAUUGUAGAAAUUCUUUUCAGUUCUUCGUAUCCUACUUCUAUGAGGGUCAUAACAAGGUUAUGGCCUUUGGUUAAGAUAUGUACGUACUUGUGGUUUUUUCCCCGCUCUCUUACAUAUUUUCAACCAUUUUUACUGGAUAAUU
rnacentral:misc_RNA from 1 species